AUAUGUUUGUAUGUCUGUAGCCACGUACAUAUGUACAUAACGCAACUGUUAUGUUAAAGUAGAGAGACCACUCUGUUGCUCUACCUCUCGCCUAAUUUCAGUUUCUUCUGUUAUUUGCUGUCCCCGUUCGUCCGUUUUAUACUGUACUUGGCUACCAUCUUACGCACUGAUCUCAUUAUAGCACAUAUACAUACAUACAUACAUAUGUAUGUAUGCUUGUAUUUGGUGAAGUGUUGAAGCAAACAGACGCAUUUUAUACGUGAUUCGCAUUGUCUUGCAUUUCAACUUAAAAAGCCGGCCUUAAUCGUACCAUAUUAAAUUCGAUCUUAAUAAAUAAUAAAUCUGUUUGCUGUGCGCGAAUUUUGUGCGAAACAAUAAGCUUGAAAUUGCGUAUGCAUUUUUUUUUCGUGCUAAGUGCUCUCUAGCAUGUGUAUGUGUAUGUACAUACAUACAUACAUAUGUCUUUGAGUUUUGUACAUUCAUUAAUUUCUUUUCACUCCAUCUUUGCUAUGCUCGUUGGCAACUGUAAUUUGAGAGUAGAUCAGUCGGUUUUUGCAUUUUUUUUCAUUGUGAUUUUAAUAGCCGGUGUUUAAUCUUCGAUUUUUUACAAUCCCAUAUUAAUAAAUACAUAUGUGUGCUAUUUCGGAAUGUUUUGUGACACACUGUAGAUAAAAAAUGCAUGUCUAUAUAUAUGUAUGUACAUAUGUAUGUAUAUAGUUUUGUUAAAUGCUGCAGUCGCAUUGAAGAGUUAUUGCUGCAUUCGCCUAUUCGGUACUCAUCGGGUAUAAUGAUUCCUAGCAAAGGUACGUUACUGAUAGACCAUGUUUGUAAUAGACUUUUUGAUAUUUUCACCCAUUUUCAACUUCAGAUUUGGAGACAUUUUUAAAGCGUAUGUUAAAUGUUUUGAGCAUAUUUACAGAGAGUAAGCUCGAAUGUUCUCCGUCUGUUAUACCCAACUAAGGGUAUGUCUUGUACCGUUUUAGUUGGAAGGGGGUAUAUAAGAUAAAAUUGACUAGGGAAACAAGUGGAAUGCAAUUAAAAUGCUGAGAUUCGGCUUUGCUGAGAAUGAAAUGAAAGUUGGCAAGCCGAGAACGUGAAUACAUACAUACAUGGCGGUUAAACUCUCCACUGUUAAGCUACAGCUACGAGCAGUAAGCAAUAACGUGAGUCGGAACUCAAAUGGCUUUGAUGUGGAGGCUUUUAUUAAUGAUGUUUAAGUUGCUGACAUCGACGCUGCCGAUGAUUAUCGCGUUUCAAAGGCGGUGGCCGAUUUACGGUAUGGUGGCGGCAGACCAUAACAUUUUCACAUCAUUGAUAUUUUCAUUUCGUUAAUGAUUUUCACAAAACGUCAAACUGCGUCCAUGUGGGUAUAUGUACAUAUGUAUGUGUAAGUACAUGUGUACAUAUGUAUGUGAGUGUGUGUAUGCUCAAGGCCUGGGCCCAGCCUGGAAAUAUGAAAAGACGGCGACUGGCGUCAAAGGAACAGCUGCCAGCUGUUUUGCUGGGCCAUGUUUGCCUUGAUAGCUUCAAGGAUAACACUUUACUUGACCUUUGUGUGUGAGCGCGCGCUUGAUAAAUGAUGACGCCGAUGCCACCGCUGCCCCUGUUGCCCCCCCGCCACUGUCACUGCCGCUACUUGGCGCGUAUUGUUUCAGUUUGCCUCCUUUGCGCUUCGACAGUUGGCAGCUUGUGUGUCUCCUGAUCCGCUUUGCUUUUGGCUUGCUCUUUGCUUUUUGCUUUUGCACUGUUCCGUGUUUUAUCCCGAAAGAUGGCAGGCGGCGCGUUACGUGCUUAUUUCGCUUAUUGCCAGCGUUGCCAGACUUAGCCGCUUGCCAGCCUGGAUUUAGUUCAAUAUUGACAUUGAUUUUGAUUUGAUGUUCAGCUGCAUGCACAUCCAUACAUACUUACUUACCGAGGUUACUUGCGUGUGCGCGUGUGUGUGUGUGUGUGUGUUUUUGUAUGCAUUUGUGUCAAACUUUGCUUGUGGCCAAUAACUUCUACUAAAUCUUUUGCUUUAAAACAAACGCGGCUGCAGACAAAAGUUGAUAGGCAGCGUAUCAAGAACAUCACAUACAUAUUCCCAAUAGUACACUUAUACUAUGCAAUGUAUUAUGUAAUAAAUAUAGUAGAAAAUGUUA